CUUCCCAACCCAAACCAUCAGAUUGACAGAGCCACUUUGGGUUGCUGCUUAAUCUACUUUUAAACUUUACUGUUUCCACUCUGAACAAGAUGAAGACAUUCAGCAUUGCAGUUGCCAUCAUGCUCAUCUUUAUUUGUCUUACGAGGAACUGUGCUGUCCCUGUCACUGUAAGAACUCGACUUCAUACCAUUUGUAUUGACAUUUGAGUGUUUGAUCAAAUGCUAAGACAUCUGAGUUAAAAUCCAUCACCAGGUGCAGAAGCUGGACAAGUCAGUGGGCCAUGAAAAUCCAGAGAGGCUCAUUGAAUUAUCAGAGGUAUGAUAUGCUGACUAAACACAUUAAGUGUGAGUGUUUUUGCUGCUUAGUUAUCUCCAGAUAAUCAGAGGAAGAUAUUGAUGCUGGUGUCCAUACUUCUCUCAUGACUCUUGUCUCUCACACUACUUGAUCACAAAAUCCAGAGGCAUAAGCGCGCCCUUUUAGGAUGCACAGUCUUCUGCUGCGAUGAGAUGCCUGAUGGAACUAAAGACUGUAGAAUGUGCUGCCCGUAGAUGGUGCUGCCUGUCCUGAAGAUCUCUGCAUCAGUCAGGGAUUAUAGCAACAGCUUGUUAAUGCCAAUUUGCUUCUCUUUAAUACAAAUGUCAUCAUAGUUACACCAUUACAUAUUAUGUGAAAGCAUGGGUUUUAUUGAUGAAUGUGUCCUUUAAUAAACUAAAAGUUACUUUUGUGCUCUGAA